AUACGUAGGGAGCGAGCGUUGUCCGGAAUUACUGGGCGUAAAGGGCGCGUAGGCGGCGCUUCAAGUCGGCUGUCAAAUGGGAGGGCUUAACCCUUUUUCGCAGACGAAACUGGAGAGCUUGAGAAGCAGAGAGGCAAACAGAAUUCCUGGUGUAGCGGUGAAAUGCGUAGAUAUCAGGAAGAAUACCAGUGGCGAAGGCGGUUUGCUGGCUGCAUACUGACGCUGAAGCGCGAAAGCCAGGGGAGCAAACGGGAUUAGAUACCCCGGUAGUCCUGGCAGUAAACGAUGUAUGCUGGGUGUGAGACUAGCGAUAGUUUCGUGCCGAAGUUAACGCGAUAAGCAUACCGCCUGGGGAGUACGGUCGCAAGAUUGAAACUCAAAUGAAUUGACGGG
rnacentral:rRNA from 1 species